rnacentral:tRNA from 1 species
UCCGGGGUAGUUCAGCGGUAGAACGCUUGACUGUUAAUCAAGAUGUCGGCGGUUCGAUCCCGUCCCCCGGAGCCA